rnacentral:rRNA from 1 species
CGUGUAGGCGGCCUUGCAAGUCAGAAGUGAAAUUCUCGGGCUCAACCCGGGCGCUGCUUCUGAAACUGUAGGGCUUGAGUGCUGGAGGGGAUAGCGGAAUUCCUAGUGGAGCGGUAAAAUGCGUAGAUAUUAGGAAGAACACCGGUGGCGAAGGCGGCUAUCUGGACAGUAACUGACGCUGAGGCGCGAAAGCGUGGGGAGCAAACAG